AGUGAACGCUGGCGGUAGGCCUAACACAUGCAAGUCGAACGGCAGCACAGUAAGAGCUUGCUCUUACGGGUGGCGAGUGGCGGACGGGUGAGGAAUACAUCGGAAUCUACUUUUUCGUGGGGGAUAACGUAGGGAAACUUACGCUAAUACCGCAUACGACCUACGGGUGAAAGCAGGGGAUCUUCGGACCUUGCGCGAUUGAAUGAGCCGAUGUCGGAUUAGCUAGUUGGCGGGGUAAAGGCCCACCAAGGCGACGAUCCGUAGCUGGUCUGAGAGGAUGAUCAGCCACAAUGGAACUGGGGCACGGUCCAGACUCCUACGGGAGGCAGCAGUGGGGAAUAUUGGACAAUGGGCGCAAGCCUGAUCCAGCCAUACCGCGUGGGUGAAGAAGGCCUUCGGGUUGUAAAGCCCUUUUGUUGGGAAAGAAAAACAGCAGGUUAAUACCCCGCUGUUCUGACGGUACCCAAAGAAUAAGCACCGGCUAACUUCGUG
rnacentral:rRNA from 1 species